AUGAAUUGAAGACUUGAAGCUGAUUUAAUCGUCUAGUACAUAGUUUUGUGCUCGAAAGCAUGUACCUCGGUCAGUUCGCUGGGAGUGGGAUUCGAGACUUGCUUAAUUCCAUGUGUGCCGGCCAGUGUAACCAUGAAAGGUGACCUCAUCAGCGGAGACAAAAUUCCUCCUUGUAGUUUACGUGUUCCGAUGUUUCCAAAAGAGCACAAUUUCGCAAAGUGUAGUCCCAUUUGUAACCGGAAAAAGG
rnacentral:lncRNA from 1 species